rnacentral:lncRNA from 1 species
GCUCGACAUGAAUUCUCUCGGAAAUAGGCAAAUCGGCCAAAGGACUGUUCCACAGAAGCAAUGGAGUCUCUUGAAUCGAGCUGCCGGAGCGCUAGCAAGACUUGCGCUGUACGAGAGACUCACAGGUGCGAUAAACAGUGCUCCAUCUCGUUAUAUACAGAUGUCUGGGUGCUCCAGGACUUUGCAAGCAUAGCUACUGUAUUACCAAAAUGUUCUUCUGCAGGCACAUGGCGGCUGUGUGAGUACCUCUCUGCAACAGUGGGCCCUGAGGUGAAUCUGCAUAACGUGCAUGAGCAUGCUGCAAUGCUGCACCUGCGUCUGUUGA